ACUGAAGCCAUUAUGUAGUGAGAAAUAUCUGAGAGUAGAAGUCCUGUGAAGUUGUAACUUGUCCAGAUUGCUACACUUCAAAAGGAUGGGCAGGAAGAAAAGGUGUCAUGAAAAAUGCUUCACCUACUGAUACUGCAAAGCACUGCAGCACUUAAAUCAGCCAGUGAGGUGUGAAGAUGUCAAGCAUGGACCGAACAGCAGACCCACUACAUUGGCUGUGAUUCAAGAUGGCAGAAUGGGAAGGAUGAUUUUUACUUCUCUGUUCCAUUAAGGUGAAUAUCUUGUGGGUGUAAGUAUAUCUGCACAGUGUUCCUGGGAGAUUUGUGAAGGAGUUUAACCUGAUACAGAAGACUAUUAAAAUGUUCUAAACAAAACGAGACCAGUCCCUGAGUUACAAGAUGGGACAUGGAGGAGUGACACCACUGUGUCUGCAGAAGAGUGGGUGAGCGUGGUACUGCCUGCAAAGCAGUGGGAAGAUCAAACAGCCAGCUGCUCAACAUUGGUCACCGCCUUCAGAGAACGAUGAACACAUCAGCGUGGCUGAACGCUGCUGUAGAUCACCCAGCACACACAGAGGUCUUAAUGGAGCAGAACAAUAAUGUUAGUCUUCAGCAGCCAUGGAAAAUAACAAAGAUCACAAAACCAGUCUCAAGGCGACACAGCUCUCACAGAAGCAAUGACUCCAAUCUACCUUUCCACCAACUGGGAGCAAACCUCAUCAAUAGGGCUGGUGAGUACAGGCUGUCACCCAGGGAGAGUCCCCAUAGCUGGAGGAUUCCCCCCUCAGGAUGGAUGGUCGUAGCCAAAAGGUUGUUGUCAUUGGCUCUGUGUCCAGGUGGUAUCUGGUCACAAAUACGAGGAUACGCUGAGGUUCACUACAGCCGGUUGCACUGGUAGGAGGCCAGAUGGGUCUUGAAUAUCCCCAGAGUAGGAGACUCCACAACUUGUCUAUGCAGCCUGUUCCAGUGCUCUGGUACUCUCAUGGUAAAGUUCUUCCGUGAAGAUCAGAAGAUAGAGUGGUUGCAUCACCAAGGUUCAAAGAUAAGUGUUGCUCUCUGCACCUCCAUGUUAGGCUUGGAAGAGUAUGUGUUGGUGCUCCUGCAAAUGUUGCAUGUAGAUAGAACUGGAGGCCAGAAGCCCCUAGAAUCUUGUGUGGUCUUGUGAUAUGGACUUAACACAGACAAUAUUAAUAAACAGCAGUACAUACAGGGAUGUUUCCCUGGCCUAUUUAAAAAAAAAAAAAAAAGAAAGAAAAAAGAAAAUAAAAUACACAAACUAGUAUUUCUCUCCACUGCCAUCUAGUGAAGUUACCACACAGCAUAAAUAAAGGCUUCAACACUCUGAACUAAACUUUAAAACAGCUAACCUUACCUUAGUGGUAUAUGAGACUUUGUGCAGGAAACAGAGUUUGAGUGUAAUGUGGGUAAUAUCCUUAGGAUAAUAGCAAAUGGCACAAAAUAAACUAGGUAGUUUAAGUCUAAUCAUAGAAUUCUAACAAUUAUUAUGACUAUAAAAAUACUCAAAAGGGUUUUGAAUAAAGCAGGGACCAAAUGUCUGCAGGCUGGGUGUGAUUUAAAUUCAGGAUAUUAUUUUAUUAUUAUUAUUAUUAUUUUUGCAGAAAGAAAACAGUUUUCCAGGGGAUGAAAACAAAAGGUGGAUGUUGGUGAUAUGUCAGCAGAUGCUGAACCUUCUCAUCAAUAUUCCAUUGCAUUUUGCUGCCGUGUGACCGAUGGAAGAAGAGAAGUGGUCUGACAGAAUGGCAUCUGAUUUGGAAGCGCAUAUGAAGAAAAGGUGUGUCACUGAAUUUCUCCACAUGAAAAAAAAAUGGCACUCAUUGGCAUUCACUGAUGCUUGGGAAUACUGUUGGAGACCAAACAAUAGAUAUGAACACACUGAGGUGAUGGGUUGUGCAUUUCAGUAGUGGUGACAGUGAUGUGGAAGACAAGCUAUGUUCUGGACAUCCAUGCACAUCUGUCACACAACAAAAUCAAGAGUAUCUCUAUCAACUCAUCUGUGCAAACUCAUGGAUAAUAACCAGUGAACUGUACAGAGCUGAAUAUUGACUUCAAUGCAUUGGAAACUAUAGCAGCAACACUGGAAUACUGUGAAGUUUGCACCAGGCGGUUCCCACAAAUGCUCACACAAGAACAGAAAGAACACUGUACAUAAGUUUGUCAGGAUUUACAGAACCAGUGUGAGACUGAAGGUGGCAGUUUCCUGGAUCUCAUCACUACUGAUGAUGAGAUGUGGAGUCAGCAGUAUGAGCCAGAGUCAAAACAGCAAGUGGCAACACGUGAGUUCUCAAUUGAAGAAAAAGCUCAAGAUGCAUCCCCUCAGUAGGUAAAGUGAUAUGCACUGUCUUUUGGGAUAGGAAAGAGGUGAUCCUUCUGGAUUUCCUGGAAUCUGGACAAACCAUCAACUCUGACCAUUACAUUGCAAUGCUUACUAAACUUAAGGCUCAAACUUUCAGUCAGGCUGGAGAAGAAGACAACCUUUCUCUUGCAACAUGAGAACACCAGGCCUCAUACCAGUUUGAAGACCAAAUGAGUGUUUUUGCAGAAGGCACAGAGAUUUUGCUAAUGAAGACACAUUCCUUUGAUGUCAGUCCUCACAAGGAAAAAACUUCAUAAACCCGUUGGUAGUUCUUGUCAUUUCUUAGGGUCUUUUGGCUUGGGGCCAAACAAUUGAUAUAGUAGAGAGCUUCCAGCUAAAAUAACAGCCUCUGCAUCUUUAUUUUCACAUAAAUCAGAUUGUUGAUGGAAGAUAGGGCUAAUUUGUCACUCUGCCCACUUGGAAAAGCUUGAUUAAUAGCUUAAUUAGACUUUUUUUUUUUUUAAUUAAGAAAUCAUAUUUCUUGAGAACUAGAGGCUGGGAAAACAACAGUAAGGACUGAAUUAGAGAAGGAAAAUAUUGUUUCUUCUGUAAAGAUCAGAGGAGAUGUUAUGCAAGCAUGAGAAGUGGAAAGAGUACAGUCAGUUGGAAGGAGUUUCAAGGAAAAACAAAACAAAAAAUAACAAACAAGUGUUCUGCAAGCAGUGCAGUUACCUGGAGACUGUGUGCUGAUGGUGUCUCUGUAGAAACAUCAACCCACAAAGUACCAGUUUGAAUAUGUUGUUCCCCAAAUCAGACUGUAAUUAAGCCUGUGUAUCAAAACCUCAAAAAUGAACACAACACCAUUUUAAUUCAAAGACCAUCUAAAUAUACUAGAUUCCAGUUGCUUACCCAGUUGCUCUCAGACUCGUUAAUGUGAGUGGGAAACACAGUGAACUUGACUGAAUAUUAAACCACGAGCAAGAGCACAAAGCAGAGGAUGUACUGAGAAGCAGGCGAUGUACAAAAGCCAUGUGAAAGUAGUGUGAAGAUGCAGUCCUGCCCUAGCAUCCAGCCCAGGGACAAGUGGUGUGGUAGCUGCGUUCCUGCUGGGAUGUGCCGCUGGACAGCAUGAUUCCCUGUGCUGGCCCCACAAACGCAUUCCUGCUGCUCUGCCAGCCAGCUGUGGGCACAGGGCCCAGGCUGUGAUUUGUGGCAAGGAGAUUUUGCUUUGACAGCCCAAUGUCACUUUGUUUUUACAUAAUCAGCCCUUUUUGUUAUGAUCUGCUGGCUUCGGAUAACAGCAGCGAAAAACGUUUCCAAGUGGAAGUGGCACUCUGGGUAAGGACCAAGACAGAAUACAUUCAAAGAAACCAAAUAUUUCUUGCUUUUUGUAAUCACCUGCAAUAAAGUGCUGCAAGUGUUUGCUGAUAGCAUGCUCUGCAGGCAGGAUGGAGUGACAGAGAAUGGGGAGAGGGUUCUGUUGUGCUUUAAACAAGCCUCUGGUUCAAAGACAGAUCUGCCAGCAGCAGAAAGUGAGAUAAAUAUCCACAGCCUGAAGGACUGGAGGGGAAUUCACACAGUCCUGCACCAGGCUUUGUUCAGAGAAACUCUCCAUCUGAAUGAACAGCAGGAGCAGGAGCAGGAGAGAUCUCAGAGCUGGGAAAACAACAGAGCUGAAGACAACACAAACUUAACGUAACAGACAUUGGAAUAACGCACCAUACUUGGGAACAGGCAGACAGAGAAGUUUCUGAGGUGUUUUUCUAAAUGUCUUCAAAAUAUUGAACACAAAUUACACCAGUGAGAGAUCUUAGCUAUAAAAGCAAAUGGGGCUGCUUUAUGUACUAGGAGAAGCAACCAAAAUAAUAAGAAAAUAAGAGUACUCUAGAUGAAAGACUGAGUGCCAUGACAUACUGUGUUGAGGGCAAUAACAGAGCUGACACAUCCUACAGAGGCAGCCAGAGGGGCAUCACUUUCCAGUCCUCAGCUCAUACAGGAGAUUUUUAUAUUUUUCUCUAUGCUCCUUUUGCUCAGAGAGAAUGGAAUCUGGAGUCCAAAGAAUGACAGCCAACCCACCCUAGUGCAUACUUGAACAGCUCUUCCAAGAGAAAAACAUUUACUCAAGUUUGCCAGACAGUGAAAGAAUCACUUAUUGUCUGCCUUGAACCCUUUCCUACACUACCAUCACUUUUUUUUCCGAUCAUUUCCAAAAUAUCUUUAUUCUCUUCUGCAGUCAAUACCCAAAAAGCUUUGAGCAAGUUGGACAAAAUUUGGCCACACAAGGAAUACCAAAAUGAGAACCAGUGGGGUGAUAUGGCUGCAGUCUCUGCUACUGGAUCCACAAUCAGCUGAACCACUUCUACCUUCUUGUCCUGUACAUGCAGUGUAAUUGGCCUGGUUGCUCCAAGAAAAGGCAGCAGCACCGAAUUACUGCAUUGUAUAAAGGUGCUUAUAGCAUGGCAUAAGCAUGCUUAUGCUCACUUUUUUUUCUAGUGUAGGUUUCAAGUAAGCCAUUUGCUCAAAUAGGUCUAUUAACUUUAAAGUGCCUAAGGCUAAAACUGUAUUAUGGGAGGCAAGCUUUGGGGGAUGCAGCCCAAAACAUCUGAGAAGGGCUUCUGGAGUCCUCUGCCACUGACUGAUUUUUGAGCAUCACUGGUGGGAAAGUAAUUAAGUAAGUAAAAGCAAGCAGCAUACCCUCAUCUGACUGAGCAGCAUGUUACUUUGAAUGCACAGACCCACCUAAUUUCUUGGGCUUGUUAGAAGAGCUCUUGGUUUCAGCCAAUAUGAAACCAGAAUACAACCCACUCCUUCCUCUUCUAUUAACUUUGAAUAGUCACAUUUUGCCAAGUCUCUGCUGGGGCAUCAGGGGAUCAGAUGCCCUGAAAGCUACUGUGGGACCAUGUCUCUGCAUGGCACUGGAUUCUUUUAUGCCUAACAGCAAUUCUCAGCCCAGCAGGGAUAGUUAAUCAAGCAAACAGUUUUAGCAGACCCCUAAGUGCAGCCCAUAAUUACCUAUACCUGUUUCAGAUGAGCUCCCUCCAGCUAAGGAAUAAUACUGUGUUCUAGUUGCAAAUAAAAGUUUGACCUUAUCUGGAAUAAAAAAUGAACAUCUUCAGAAAACACCAAUGAAGAAAAAAAGAAAAUGAUUUGAAAAGAACAGAAUUAAAUUAAUGGAAAUAAAAUUUUGGGUAACUGCUGGAAGUAAAAUAAUAUCUUAGCAAUAUGUACUAAACUGUGGCAAAACCUCCUAAGGAAAGUGAAUGAUGGAGUUCCAGGGUCUGAAGAAUCACAGUUGCUUCAGGCAAAGCUUCAGGAAAGACAUGACUGGGGAACAGCAUGGGCUGGCUGUAGAAGUGCAGGGACAGAACAUGGCCAAGAAUUUUUGCUCAGACGUUUGCAAUGAUGCAAGUACACUGUACAUGGAAAUGCACAUGGAACAUACAGCUGACCUGUUUUAAAAGCUGUGCAUAUUUUUAUUUAAACUAAUGGGAAUUUUACAGCUUAAAAUAACAUUAAGCCGUCAGGGGACACCAGUGAAUCUGGCUGAUUUUUUCUGUCUCAUCUCCAGAAAACAACCCCUUAACAGCUCUUCAAACAUACAGAUAUGAUUUUGACAUUUCUGUAAGUUAGAACAUGAUUAUUACAAGAUAUCUCUCAUUUGAAAUCCUGUUUAAAAGAAAAAGAAAGCAGUCUUCUCUAGUUUUACAGUUAUUUCUAAUAUCUAGUUCUAUUAGGUAGAGACAGGAAAUGAGACAAAAAUGCAAAACAUUUAUCACUUUCUUUCUGGUGGGCAAUGAGAAAGUAUUUUCUGAUCUGCAGUUGUCUGGGGAAUCCCUUUUCCAGUAGAGAUUUUGAGCACAAUAUUAUCACAAGUUAUAGGCUGAUCUGGGAAAGCAUAGCAGUUCUGUCAAUUGGGAACAGCUCCCUCUCCAGCCUGCCAUCCAUUACCCGGCAAUGCCUGUCCACUGCUUUUCAUGCCAGAGAGCUGUUUGAGUGACAACUGAAAUAAUAACAUCUGUGCCAAGGUCAGGAUGUGAUGCGCCAUUCCCUAUGGAGCCUGACACGUGUUGUUUUCUGACAGCCAUCUGAAAGAACUGAAGACACUAUGAAAGGCUACAGUUUUUAAUUAAAAAUCAUAAUGGUCCCUUGCUAUACUGUGAUACAAAAUGGACUUGCAAACUUUCACUGCAAUAUUCCUUGGACCAUACAAAAUACUGUACUGUAUUGAUGUCUGUUGAAAUUCAAGGACUGUGAUGAGUGAAAAUCCAUUGAACCUGUUUCAUAUGACAUUCAGACACUCAACUCCAUGUACAGUGAGAAGCAGUGGAGAACUGAGGGCUGUGUCCUAGUGGAGCAAGUGCUGGAACAAGAAGCACGGUGUCGUCUUCCCUGGAGAGCUUCUUCCCAGGCCUGUGGAAAACACCUGUUGAAGAGAAUCAAAGCAACACUGUGGCAAAACAUGGAAUCAAGUGAUAGGACAUCCCUGCUAUGCAAACUGUGUUCAUCAGAUAUCUGGUCCAAUAAAAUUUCUUGGAUGCAAUGUAAA